UACGUAGGGUGCAAGCGUUUAAUCGGAAUUACUGGGCGUAAAGCGUGCGCAGGCGGUUAUGCAAGACAGAUGUGAAAUCCCCGGGCUCAACCUGGGAACUGCAUUUGUGACUGCAUGGCUAGAGUACGGUAGAGGGGGAUGGAAUUCCGCGUGUAGCAGUGAAAUGCGUAGAUAUGCGGAGGAACACCGAUGGCGAAGGCAAUCCCCCUGGACCUGUACUGACGCUCAUGCACGAAAGCGUGGGGAGCAAACAGG
rnacentral:rRNA from 1 species